UUGUAGGUUUUAGUGAUUGCUGGGUAAGACCUGGCACGUGAAAGCAAUUUGGAAACUGUAAAGCACUCCACAAAUGUAAGACGUUAACGUAUACAGGAGGGGAAAUAACGCAGGACUUGAACAGAGGGAGAAACCUCCCCAGCCUCUGAGAUGCUCAGGUCAGGAUGCGCGGUUCCUCCCCUCUGCCUGCCUCCCUCUCUUCCUUUGCCCCCUCGCCGGCCGGGGCGCGUGCCUUACAACAGCAGGCGCUCUGAUCCAAAUCGAUGGUUUUGUUGACUGUCGAUGCCGGGACAAGAGGCUGCAGCUUGGUGUCUUCAGGAAGGGCAGUGUCUGCUGAAGCCCUAACCCCCGUGCCUCAGAAUGUGACUGUAUUUGGAGAUGAGGUCUCUAAAGAGAUGACUCAGUUAUAUCAGGGUCUUCGGGGUUAGGCUCUAACCCAACCUGUCCUUACAAGAAGAGGACAUUUAAACACGCAGAUUGACACCCAGGGCACCUGUGCGCAGAGGGGCAGGAAGAGGCCGAGAGAGGGCCGUCGUCUCCAGGCCAAGAAAAGAGGCCUCAGAAGAAACCAAACCUGCCAACACCUUGAUCUUGGACAUCUAGCCUCCAGAAGUGUCAUUCUCAGCUAACACUGUCUGGCUUUUCAAAUCACUUUAUUUCUUGGAGUCCUGGUUCAUUUUUCUGGAAGUUCUGUUUUUAUUUUUUAUUUUAUUUUAAAUUUACUCAAAUACUUUCUCUCGUGUAGGGUAGAUGUCAAUUACAUUUUUCCCCUGAAUUCUUACAAGCUCCAAACAUCUCUGUUUGCCCUUUUACUUAAUUGACAGUUUGGCUGAGUAAAGAAUGUUAGGUUUCAAGGUCUCUGCUUCUCAGAACUUGACUCAGGGCUUCCUUCAUUGGCAUGAGACUUGUGCCCUCCAAGAAAGAAAGUGGCAUGAGAAUGACCUGGAAACAAAGGAAAUGGAAGAAAACAAGAGACCCCAUGCUUAGAAGGGCCUGUUUAAGGUUCUGCUGUCAUCAUCUUGAAAUUCUGAAUCAUUUUGAUCAUGAAUUCCCACACUUUCAUUUUCACCGAGCCCUGCAAAUUAUGAAGCUGGUCCAUCUUAAAAGACACUCAAGCAUCUAGCAAUGCUGAUAAUUCUGAAGCUCAACGAAUUCUUAUUCCUUGGUAGGCAACAUGCUCUCUUUCUGUAAACUUUCAAUUUACAUAAACAUUAUAUUUUUAUCUGAA